GAUGCCAUUUUGGGCCUGUGGUUU
rnacentral:miRNA from 1 species